rnacentral:rRNA from 1 species
CCCUUAGAUGUUCUGGGCUGCACGCGCGCUACACUGAUGCCCUCAACGAGUUUACGACCUUGCCCGAUAGGGUUGGGUAAUCUUUUUAAAAUGCAUCGUGAUGGGGAUAGAUUAUUGCAAUUAUUAAUCUUCAACGAGGAAUUCCUAGUAAGCGCGAGUCAUCAGCUCGUGCUGAUUACGUCCCUGCCCUUUGUACACACCGCCCGUCGCUCCUACCGAUUGAGUGCUCAGGUGAAUAAUUCGGACUGCGGCAAUGUUUGGAUCCCGAACGUUGCAGCGGAAAGUUUAGUGAACCUUAUCACUUAGAGGAAGGAGAAGUCGUAACA